rnacentral:rRNA from 1 species
GGGAAGAACACCAGUGGCGAAGGCGCUCUACUGGGCUGCAACUGACGCUGAGGGACGAAAGCUAGGGGAGCGAAAGGGAUUAGAUACCCCUGUAGUCCUAGCCGUAAACGAUGGACACUAGGUGUUGGCCGUAUCGACCCGGUCAGUAUCGUAGCUAACGCGUUAAGUGUCCCGCCUGGGGAGUACGCACGCAAGUGUGAAACUCAAAGGAAUUGACGGGGGCCCGCACAAGCGGUGGAGUAUGUGGUUUAAUUCGAUGCAACGCGAAGAACCUUACCAGGGUUUGACAUCCCGCGAACCUUCCUGAAAGGGGAGGGUGCCUUCGGGAGCGCGGAGACAGGUGGUGCAUGGCUGUCGUCAGCUCGUGUCGUGAGAUGUUGGGUUAAGUCCCGCAACGAGCGCAACCCUCGUCUUUAGUUGCCAUCAUUCAGUUGGGCACUCUAGAGAGACUGCCGGGGACAACUCGGAGGAAGGUGGGGAUGACGUCAAGUCAUCAUGCCCCUUACAUCCUGGGCUACACACGUACUACAAUGCUGCGGACAAAGGGCAGCGAACUCGCGAGGGUAAGCUAAUCUCAUAAACCGUGGCUCAGUUCAGAUCGCAGGCUGCAACUCGCCUGCGUGAAGGAGGAAUCGCUAGUAAUCGCAGGUCAGCAUACUGCGGUGAAUACGUUCCCGGGCCUUGCACUCACCGCCCGUC